GGGAAAUUACUAAGGCAGAGAGCAGGUCCCCUGUUACUAUAUAUAAUACUUCACAACCUACUACCACCAUCAGUACCUCUUCCACUACUAGGCAAGGGGGUAUGUUGAGCUUAGAGCUACCAGGCAACCGAAGGCCUUGUCAAAACAGCAGGCUAACACAAUGAUUGCCCAGCUGAUCCCUGUAGUGGGAGCUUUGAUUUCCAUAAUUAAAUGGUAGCCUUUUAAGUAGCUGAUAA